rnacentral:rRNA from 1 species
CCUACGGGAGGCAGCAGUGGGGAAUAGUGCACAAUGGGGGAAACCCUGAUGCAGCGACGCCGCGUGAGUGAAGAAGUAAUUCGGUAUGUAAAGCUCUAGCAGCAGGGAAGAAAAUGACGGUACCUGAGUAAGAAGCCCCGGCUAACGACGUGCCAGCAGCCGCGGUAAUACGUAGGGGGCAAGCGUUCUCCGGAUUUACUGGGUGUAAAGGGAGCGUAGACGGCAGGGCAAGUCUGGAGGGAAAGGCGGGGGCUCAACCCCCGGACUGCUCUGGAAACGGUACGGCGGGAGUGCAGGAGAGGUCAGUUGCAUUCCUAGUGUAGCGGUGACAUGCGUAGCUAUUAGGAGGAACCCCAGUGGCGAAGGCGGCUUACUGGACUGUACCUGACGUUGAGGCUC